ACCGUGCGAAGGUAGCGUAAUCACUUGUUCUUUAAAUGAGGACUAGUAUGAACGGCAUCACGAGGGUUAUGCUGUCUCCUUUUUCUAAUCAAUGAAACUGAUCUCCCCGUGAAGAAGCGGGCAUAUUAAUAUAAGACGAGAAGACCCUAUGGAGCUUUAAACUAUUAUAGCACUGGCCCGUCCACUCCAUGUUUCAGAACUACAGCACUCACAUAGCCUUAAUGACUAUUAGUUUUAGGUUGGGGUGACCGCGGAGCAAAAAUUAACCUCCACAUUGAAAAGAACCUUUCUUGAGCCCAAAGCCACGACUUCAAGCACCAACAAACUGACAUACAUUGACCCAAGAAAUUGAGCAACGAACCAAGU
rnacentral:rRNA from 1 species